CCUACGGGAGGCUGCAGUGAGGAAUAUUGGUCAAUGGGCGAGAGCCUGAACCAGCCAAGUCGCGUGAGGGAGUACUGCCCUAUGGGUUGUAAACCUCUUUUGUCGGGGAGCAAAAGCCGGACGUGUCCGGCUGUGAGAGUACCCGAAGAAAAAGCAUCGGCUAACUCCGUGCCAGCAGCCGCGGUAAUAAGGAGGAUGCGAGCGUUAUCCGGAUUUAUUGGGGUUAAAGGGUGCGCAGGCGGAUUUUUAAGUCAGCGGUCAAAUCGUGGGGCUCAACCCCAUCCAGCCGUUGAAACUGGGGAUCUAGAGUGUGCGAGAGGUAUGCGGAAUGCGUGGUGUAGCGGUGAAAUGCAUAGAUAUCACGCAGAACCCCGAUUGCGAAGGCAGCAUACCGGUGCACAACUGACGCUCAGGCACGAAAGCGUGGGUAUCGAACAGGAUUAGAUACCCCAGUAGUC
rnacentral:rRNA from 1 species